rnacentral:ncRNA from 1 species
AAAUGCUGUUUCAGGACGGCGGCCACGGAAGUCGGAACGCACUAAGGAGUGUGUAACCACUCACCUGCUGAAUCAACUAGCCCUGAAAAUAGA